GCAAGUCGAGCGGGGUAGCAAUACCUAGCGGCAGACGGGUGCGUAACAUGUGGGAAUCUGCCUUUUGGUUCGGAACAACAUGGGGAAACCUGUGCUAAUACCGGAUAAGUCCUAAAGGAGAAAGUUUGAAUGCCAAAAGAUGAGCACGCAUUUGAUUAGCUUGUGGGUGAGGUAAAAGCUCACCAAGGCUAUAAUCAAUAGAUGAUUGGAGAGGAUGAUC
rnacentral:rRNA from 1 species